ensembl:snoRNA SNORA74 Small nucleolar RNA SNORA74
CCCAGCUAUAGGCAAUGGCCUAGGUUGCCCUGUACCUAGGCAAGUGUUACACAGCUGGGAGAAAAGCAGCCAUUAGUUGGUGGAUAGCCUGGGCCUAGUUAAUGCCAAAUU